rnacentral:lncRNA from 1 species
CCGGGAACCCCGAACAUCCCCUUUCUCUACUCUUUCCCUUUGGAGUCUAUAGAGGGAGAAGCAGAGCCUAAGGCUUCAUCAGUUUGAAUACUGGCUGGGGCUGGGCAAGUUAGUGGCUCAAAGUGUUGAAUCUGUCCCUAAAGCAGGGACAGAAAUGGAGGCUCAGGAGGUAGAGGUGGCAGUGGGCGUGCAGGAGAAGCUGUAGGUCAGGAGGUAGAGGUGGCAGUGGGCGUGCAGGAGAAGCUGAGGUCGGGAGGUAGAGGUGGCAGUGGGCGUGCAGGAGAAGCUGUAGGUCGGAAGGUAGAAGUGGCAGUGGGCGUGCAGGAGAAGCUGUAGGUCGGGAGGUAGAGGUGGCAGUGGGCGUGCAGGAGAAGCUGUAGGUCAGGGGGUAGAGGUGGCAGUGGGCGUGCAGGAGAAGUGUAGGUCGGGAGGUAGAGGUGGCAGUGGGCGUGCAGGAGAAGCUGUAGGUCGGAGAGGGUGCAGAGUGGAGAACAGAUGAGCUGGAGUCACACCAUGCCCUAUACCCAGCCAGAGGCCGAAGUGAGCCUGUCACGGUAAUGCCACUGCCUGCUUGAUUCCCUCCCAUGCCUAGCCUGGGUUCUUCAUGAUCCCUGAGGCCCUCUUUGAUGUCAUCCCGCUGCCUCAAAACCUGUGUGUGCUGGUGGCUCCCUCUGCUUUCCUUCCAGAUGACUCCUUCGCUUCAGCUCAAAUGUCACCUUUGGCUGUUAAAAUCCUUUCCGGAGGAAGUUGUAAACAAUGCCUACCCCUCCUCCCGAGGUCUCUGAUUCCACUCCAGGGAAGAUUGCUCUGGGGGAGCCAAUGAGUUUGUUGGGAUUACUUCCAGAGCAUAGGUGAGGGGUUAGUUACUUGAAUAUGAGUGCUGCCCACCAAAAGACCGCACUGAAAAGUCUUUACCCAGCAGGGGUGAUGGU